UCUUUUCAGUCGAGAUAUUAGACGCCUUAACGGAGCUACCAUUCAUCGCAAUUCGUGAGCCAAUUCCUGUCAACUCGGUAACAGUAUUAAGGUUAGCCGAGCCUUCUGUCGGUUUAAUCCUUUUAGAUGAUUUCUGAGCAAAAGAACGGGGAGUAGUGCCGUUCUUACUACCAACAUUGGUAUUGGCAACAGUUUUACUCUGCUCACUUCUAUUAGAUUUCUUGGUAGGUUCGGAGCCGUUAGCAGUACGGAGAGUCAUUUCCGUUAGCUCAUCUUCCUCGGAAAUAAUCAAAUCAGCAUUUGGGGUAGUAACGGUAUUGAGGAAAGCUUUUUCCUUUGAUACUAACUUUGUCAUAUUACCGUUGUUGGCAUCUGCCGAAGGUGCGGAAUUGUUUUUCGAAGCAAA